rnacentral:rRNA from 1 species
ACUGGGAUUAGAUACCCCACUAUGCUCAGCCAUAAACCUAGGCGUCCAACUACAAUUAGACGUCCGCCCGGGUACUACGAGCAUUAGCUUGAAACCCAAGGGACCUGACGGUGCCUCAGACCCCCCUAGAGGAGCCUGUUCUAGAACCGAUAACCCCCGUUAAACCUCACCACUUCUAGCCACCCCAGCCUAUAUACCGCCGUCGUCAGCUUACCCUGUGAAGGCAAUAAAAGUAAGCAAAAUGGGCACAACCCAGAACGUCAGGUCGAGGUGUAGCGUACGAAGCGGGAAGAAAUGGGCUACAUUUUCUAUUAUAGAACACUACGGACAUGCAACAUGAAAUAGUGCUUGAAGGAGGAUUUAGUAGUAAAAAGGAAGCAGAGUGUCCUUUUGAACCCGGCUCUGAGGCGCGUACACACCGCCCGUCACCCUCU